GACGGGACCCCGCACAAGCGGUGGAUUAUGUUGUUUAAUUCGACGCAACGCGAAGAACCUUACCAGGCCUUGACAUACUCGGCAAAGCUCUAGAGAUAGAGUGGAGGUUUAUCCGGGAUACAGGUGGUGCAUGGUUGUCGUCAGCUCGUGUCGUGAGAUGUUGGGUUAAGUCCCGCAACGAGCGCAACCCUUGUCUUUAGUUACCAUCAUUAAGUUGGGGACUCUAGAGAGACUGCCGGUGAUAAACCGGAGGAAGGUGGGGAUGACGUCAAAUCAUCAUGCCCCUUAUGGCCUGGGCUACAAACGUAAUACAAUGGCGUAUACAAAGGGAUGCGAAGGGGCGACCUGGAGCAAAACUCACAAAGUACGUCUCAGUUCAGAUUGGAGUCUGCAACUCGACUCCAUGAAGGCGGAAUCGCUAGUAAUCGCGGAUCAGCAUGCCCGCGGUCGAAUACGUUCCCGGGCCUU
rnacentral:rRNA from 1 species